CAGCUUGACUGCGAGCGUGACGGCGCGAGCAGGUGCGAAAGCAGGUCAUAGUGAUCCGGUGGUUCUGAAUGGAAGGGCCAUCGCUCAACGGAUAAAAGGUACUCCGGGGAUAACAGGCUGAUACCGCCCAAGAGUUCAUAUCGACGGCGGUGUUUGGCACCUCGAUGUCGGCUCAUCACAUCCUGGGGCUGAAGUAGGUCCCAAGGGUAUGGCUGUUCGCCAUUUAAAGUGGUACGCGAGCUGGGUUUAGAACGUCGUGAGACAGUUCGGUCCCUAUCUGCCGUGGGCGCUGGAGAACUGAGGGGGGCUGCUCCUAGUACGAGAGGACCGGAGUGGACGCAUCACUGGUGUUCGGGUUGUCAUGCCAAUGGCACUGCCCGGUAGCUAAAUGCGGAAGAGAUAAGUGCUGAAAGCAUCUAAGCACGAAACUUGCCCCGA
rnacentral:rRNA from 3 species